CCCCAGCGCCACAAGUGGGGAUCGGUUUUAUUUGGUCUAAAGCGUCCGUAGCAGGUUCUGUAAAUUUUUUGUGAAUUUGUUGCGCUUAACGCAACACACUGCAGAAAAGACUGCAGAACUUGGAACUGGGAGGAGUAAGCAGUAUUCUCGGGGGAGCGGUAAAAUGUUAUAAUCCCGAGAGGACUACCUGUGCCGAAGGGGGCUUACUAGUACAGAUUCGACUGUGAGGGACGAAAGCUAGGGGA
rnacentral:rRNA from 1 species